CUCUUAUCAAGAGAGGUGGAGGGAUGUGCCCGAUGAAGCCCGGCAACCGUCAAUUUUUUAUUGAAAUGGUGCCAAUUCACACAAAGUUUAAAGACUUUGAGAGAUAAGAG
rnacentral:ncRNA from 2 species